AAUGCCCUCUGACUUCGGUCAGCUGGGUUCAAUGUGUGUCAACUCUUCGGAGUUGGCCAUCCACACACACCGUGAACUGUGACUUCGGUCAUCACAAACUUUUAGUAAUGAAUGUAAUAUCAUAACAAAAACAAAACUUUUAACAACGGAUCUCUUGGCUCU
rnacentral:misc_RNA from 1 species